rnacentral:rRNA from 1 species
AGUGAACGCUGGCGGUAGGCCUAACACAUGCAAGUCGAACGGCAGCACAGAGGAGCUUGCUCCUUGGGUGGCGAGUGGCGGACGGGUGAGGAAUACAUCGGAAUCUACUCUGUCGUGGGGGAUAACGUAGGGAAACUUACGCUAAUACCGCAUACGACCUACGGGUGAAAGCCGGGGACCUUCGGGCCUUGCGCGAUUGAAUGAGCCGAGGUCGGAUUAGCUAGUUGGCGGGGGAAAGGCCCACCAAGGCGACGAUCCGUAGCUGGUCUGAGAGGAUGAUCAGCCACACUGGAACUGAGACACGGUCCAGACUCCUACGGGAGGCAGCAGUGGGGAAUAUUGGACAAUGGGCGCAAGCCUGAUCCAGCCAUACCGCGUGGGUGAAGAAGGCCUUCGGGUUGUAAAGCCCUUUCGUUGGGAAAGAAAUCCAGCUGGCUAAUACCCGGUUGGGAUGACGGUACCCAAAGAAUAAGCACCGGCUAACUUCGUGCCAGCCGCCGCCGUAA